AAAAACCAUUGAAACAGUCAGUACAACUAUCAUUGCAAAUAUUUAAAGAUCUGAAAAUAUCAACACAGUAAUGAAAAAUGUGUGAACUAGAAUACAUGACAUACGUAGACAAAAAUGAAAUAUAUAUAUAUCUUACUCUUCUGUGCUAUUUCAAAUGUUUUGGCAAAUCAUUCUUAUGAUACUGCAGGCUGGAGAAGGACGCUUCAUGCUACAAACCUACUCAUUGAAAUACAUGAUGAAAAAGG